AACAUACUCCCUCCGUUCGGAAUUACUUGUCUCAAAAAUGGAUGUAUCUAAAACUAAAAUACGUCUAGAUACAUUCAUUUCCGCGACAAGUAAUUCCGAACGGAGGGAGUACAUU
rnacentral:pre_miRNA from 1 species